rnacentral:rRNA from 1 species
UACGUAGGGUGCAAGCGUUAAUCGGAAUUACUGGGCGUAAAGCGUGCGCAGGCGGUGAUGUAAGACAGAUGUGAAAUCCCCGGGCUCAACCUGGGAAUGGCAUUUGUGACUGUAGGGCUAGAGUACGGUAGAGGGGGAUGGAAUUCCGCGUGUAGCAGUGAAAUGCGUAGAUAUGCGGAGGAACACCGAUGGCGAAGGCAAUCCCCUGGACCUGUACUGACGCUCAUGCACGAAAGCGUGGGGAGCAAACAGG